ensembl:misc_RNA Metazoa_SRP Metazoan signal recognition particle RNA
GCCGGGCAUGAUGGCUCACGCCUGUAAUCCCAGCACUUUGGGAGGCCGAGGUGGGCGGAUCACUUGAGGCCAGGAGUUCGAGACCAGCCUGGCCAACACAGUGAAACCCCACCUCUA